UGUGCGUUGUCCUGUAACGGCAGCAGUCAGUACACUAUCCAUCAGCUCAGCCAAUGGAAAUAGCAGUGGUGACUCUUGGACAACACCGCAGCAGCACAAGCUCCUAUCUGGUCCAGUGACGUGACACAUUAUGGACACAAGAGAUUCUGC